GUCCUCUGAUGACUUCGUGUUAGUGCCACCUGUCCAGGCCACUGAGAACCCAUGAUGGAACUGAGGAUCUGAGGAA
rfam:Chlorocebus sabaeus isolate 1994-021 chromosome 17, whole genome shotgun sequence.